CCUACGGGAGGCAGCAGUGGGGAAUAUUGCACAAUGGGGGAAACCCUGAUGCAGCAACGCCGCGUGAGUGAAGAAGUAUUUCGGUAUGUAAAGCUCUAUCAGCAGGGAAGAAGAUGACGGUACCUGACUAAGAAGCCCCGGCUAACUACGUGCCAGCAGCCGCGGUAAUACGUAGGGGGCAAGCGUUAUCCGGAUUUACUGGGUGUAAAGGGAGCGCAGACGGUGGGACAAGUCUGAAGUGAAAGCCCGGGGCUCAACCCCGGGACUGCUUUGGAAACUGCCUGACUGGAGUGCUGGAGAGGCAAGCGGAAUUCCGAGUGUAGCGGUGAAAUGCGUAGAUAUUAGGAAGAACACCAGUGGCGAAGGCGGCUUGCUGGACAGUAACUGACGUUGAGGCUCGAAAGCGUGGGGAGCAAACAGGAGUAGAUACCCGGGUAGUC
rnacentral:rRNA from 1 species